GAUGAACGCUGGCGGCGUGCUUAACACAUGCAAGUCGAACGAUGAAGCCCAGCUUGCUGGGUGGAUUAGUGGCGAACGGGUGAGUAACACGUGAGUAACCUGCCCUUGACUCUGGGAUAAGCCGGGGAAACUGGGUCUAAUACUGGAUAUGACUUCUCAUCGCAUGGUGGGGGGUGGAAAGAUUUAUUGGUCUUGGAUGGACUCGCGGCCUAUCAGCUUGUUGGUGAGGUAAUGGCUCACCAAGGCGACGACGGGUAGCCGGCCUGAGAGGGUGACCGGCCACACUGGGACUGAGACACGGCCCAGACUCCUACGGGAGGCAGCAGUGGGGAAUAUUGCACAAUGGGCGCAAGCCUGAUGCAGCGACGCCGCGUGAGGGAUGACGGCCUUCGGGUUGUAAACCUCUUUCAGUAGGGAAGAAGCGAGAGUGACGGUACCUGCAGAAGAAGCGCCGGCUAACUACGUG
rnacentral:rRNA from 1 species